rnacentral:misc_RNA from 1 species
GAAAUGCGAUAAGUAGUGUGAAUUUGCAGAAUUCAGUGAAUCAUCGAAUCUUUGAACGCACAUUGCGCCCCUUGGUAUUCCAUGGGGCAUGCCUGUUCGAGCGUCAUUUGUACCCUCAAGCUCUGCUUGGUGUUGGGUGUUUGUCCCCGUCUCCGCGCGUGGACUCGCCCCAAAGUGAUUGGCAGCCGGCGUACUGGUCCCGGAGCGCAGCACAUGUCGCGCAAACGAGUGCCUUGGUACGGCGGCGUCCAUAAGCCCCUCUCUCACGCUCUUGACCUCGGAUCAGGUAGGGAUACCCGCUGAACUUAAGC